CCUACGGGGGGCAGCAGUCGAGAAUCAUUCACAAUGGGGGAAACCCUGAUGGUGCGACGCCGCGUGGGGGAAUGAAGGUCUUCGGAUUGUAAACCCCUGUCAUGUGGGAGCAAAUUAAAAAGAUAGUACCACAAGAGGAAGAGACGGCUAACUCUGUGCCAGCAGCCGCGGUAAUACAGAGGUCUCAAGCGUUGUUCGGAAUCACUGGGCGUAAAGCGUGCGUAGGCUGUUUCGUAAGUCGUGUGUGAAAGGCGCGGGCUCAACCCGCGGACGGCACAUGAUACUGCGAGACUAGAGUAAAGGAGGGGGAACCGGAAUUCUCGGUGUAGCAGUGAAAUGCGUAGAUAUCGAGAGGAACACUCGUGGCGAAGGCGGGUUCCUGGACAUUAACUGACGCUGAGGCACGAAGGCCAGGGGAGCGAAAGGGUUUAGAUACCCGGGUAGUC
rnacentral:rRNA from 1 species